rnacentral:lncRNA from 1 species
CCCAGGCUUCUUAUCUCUUCCAACAUAUCUAGCUCUUCUAUCUUAUUCUUAAUCAUGUCCUUUUUUUUUAUUAUAUUCCCAUUUGUAGCUCUAUUCUAGGUCUUGAGUUUAGAUCACAAAUACCUGAGCUUGCCCAUCAUGUUGAUCGUUGCAUCGGAUGACUAGGGUGCAGAGUCCCACUAUUGCCGUAUCAUAUCAUCAAAACCUGGCAUGCAUAUCCAGAAGGCCUCAAACCUGAAUGGCUUCCUUGGUAUGGGUUGCUUCAUCCACUCUAGGUAUGGUUUGAGGUUGUUUUGUGCAUAGGCUCCAAAGAUGCAUC